rnacentral:rRNA from 1 species
CAAUAGCGUAUACUAAAGUUGUUGCAGUUAAAAAGCUCGUAGUUGAAUUUCUGGUCGUGGCAGCUGGUCCGCCUCGCAAGGGGUGAGUACCUGGUUGUUGCGUCCAUCCUCGGGGAGAGCAUGCCUGGCAUUCAGUUGUCGGGUAUGGGACCCCCGUCAUUUACUGUGAGCAAAAUAGAGUGUUCAAAGCAGGCUUAGGCCGUUGAAUACAUUAGCAUGGAAUAAUAAAAUAGGACCUCGGUUUAUUUUGUUGGUUUGUAUUCCAAGGUAAUGAUUAAUAGGGACAGUUGGGGGUAUUCGUAUUCAAUUGUCAGAGGUGAAAUUCUUGGAUUUAUGGAAGACGAACUACUGCGAAAGCAUUUACCAAGGAUGUUUUCAUUAAUCAAGAACGAAAGUUAGGGGAU